rnacentral:rRNA from 1 species
CAGGAUGAACGCUAGCGACAGGCCUAACACAUGCAAGGUCGAGGGGCAGCACAAGGAGCAAUCUGAGGUGGCGACCGGCGCACGGGUGAGUAACACGUAUGCAACCUGCCUGUAAGCGGGGAAUAACCCGUUGAAAGACGGACUAAUACCGCAUAAUACUAAAUUACUGCAUGGUAAUUUAUUUAAACAUUUAUGGCUUACAGAUGGGCAUGCGCAUGAUUAGCUAGUUGGAGAGGUAACGGCUCCCCAAGGCAACGAUCAUUAGGGGUUCUGAGAGGAAGGUCCCCCACACUGGUACUGAGACACGGACCAGACUCCUACGGGAGGCAGCAGUGAGGAAUAUUGGUCAAUGGACGAGAGUCUGAACCAGCCAAGUCGCGUGCAGGAAGAAUGUCCCUAUGGAUUGUAAACUGCUUUUGCAGGGGAAUAAAGUGCAUCACGUGUGAUGUUUUGUAUGUACUCUGCGAAUAAGGAUCGGCUAACUCCGUGCCAGCCGCCGC